rnacentral:tRNA from 2 species
CGGGAUAUAGCUCAGCUUGGUAGAGCACCUGCUUUGGGAGCAGGGUGUCGCAGGUUCAAAUCCUGCUAUCCCGA